AUUGAACGCUGGCGGCAGGCCUAACACAUGCAAGUCGAACGAGUGGCGGACGGGUGAGUAAUGUCUGGGAAACUGCACGAUGGAGGGGGAUAACUACUGGAAACGGUAGCUAAUACCGCAUACCAUCGGAUGUGCCCAGAUGGGAUUAGCUAGUGGGGGGGGUAACGGCCCACCUAGGCUACGCACCCUAGCGGGGCUGAGAGGAUGACCAGACACACUGGAACAGAGACAGGGGCCAGACUCCUACGGGAGGCAGCAGUGGGGAAUAUUGCACAAUGGGCGCAAGCCUGAUGCAGCCAGGCGGCUUGUAUGAAGAAGGCCUUCGGGUUGUAAAGUACUUUCAGCGAGGAGGCGUUACUCGCAGAAGAAGCAUCGGCUAACUCCGUGCCAGCCGCCGCGGUAAUAC
rnacentral:rRNA from 1 species